UUAGUCGUUUUAUGACGCAGGUGCCCAGUGAUAACAAUCACAUGAUGUCACUUUGGAAAUAUCAGCCACUUAAUGUUAGCGUGGUCAGUAUCAAACCCUGAUACGGAAAGUAUGCAUUUAACAUGGCUGUAAAUUCGCAUACUCGCUAAAAUAUUUCAACACCACUAAAUUAUUUAGAAUACUGGUAUCUGCAUGUAUUGCACUAUCAAAAAAUGCCUGAUAAGCCUUUAUAUAAUUCAUUUGAUGUCUACAUACGCAAAUACUUGUAUCGUGUUUUAUGUUUGCUUUGACAUGCAACAAACUUUCAGGUGAUAACAGGUGUGAAUUUUAUUUUAUUUAUAUAACUUGAAAUUUACGUGCAUAACAACUGGAAAAGGCUCACUCGCCGUGAGGGGAAUUGAAGUCAAAUUAUAUAAGAUUAAAAUUACAUAAAUUAAAUCAUGCCUAAAUUUACCAAACAAUCAUCAUCAUCAGGAUCCUCCCGAUGUAGAGCAAACGACCCAGUAAGUUAUCACGGUGGCCAAGAACUAAAUAUUUAUCAAUAUGUAUAUCUUUUAGUACAUAGAUAUGUGACAAUUUAGAUUUCGUACAUAAGUGUUUUCAUCAUCUCUUACAUUGAAUAUCGCUGAAUAAUCCAGUACAAAGAUACCCCCGGAAAUUCCAACGAUAUGAGAUUUUGCUUCACUAAUCAAAAUGGCGACACGUCCCCUGGAAAAUAAAAUGUUUGACAUUCCCGCCUCUGUAACGGAUGAAAUCCAACUUAACAUCGAAUCUUCUACGCCUUUACAGCAAUCACCAGAGAAGUAAAGGCUGGCGCAAAUAUUUAGAAGGAAAAUUAAUUUGCGAAAGCUCAUCAUGAAAUCGGAAACUUCUAAAAUGUCAUUAAAAUGGGCAGAGUAGUAGAAGAGGUAUUCGCCAAUGAACAUCAACACAAUUUUGCUCAUGACUGAAUUAACUUGCAAUGAGAGGGUCUUGAUGGCGGAGAAAUUUCGUAAGAUGACAGAAGGAUCGUCGUACUGAAAUUUUGGAUCUCAGAGUUAGAAUAAAUACAGAAAUUAUUUAUAGUGUACUGUAUAUAUUUUACUGUAGUAUGUAUUGUGUUUGUUGUGUACUGUAGUAAUUUAUGUCACGUGAAAUAUGCUAGGGUUGGUGGAUCCGAUUUGACAAUAUCCGACUGUUUACUUAACAUGGAUCCGGUCCGAGCAAUCCGAUCCGACAGUAUCCGAUCUAUCCGAUCUAUCGGAUCGGAUCCAUGUUAUAGGUAUUUAACGUUCGGGUCGGAUUUUAUCAGGUUACUAACCCUAGCCGAAGCACACAUCUAGUUCAAAAAGUUCAAAAAAUGCACGUACCAUAUUAUUUUUUUGAUGAUUUUCUUCCACAAGUUUUUUAAAAGCUUUCCCUGCCACACUAAGAACGAUUGACAUGACCAGAAUUAUCCCGUCAGAUAAGUAUGACAUUCUUUGUCGGAAACAAAUUCCAAGCGAGGUCAGGAAUCCGAGAAAAAUAUCAAAUUCUGUGAUUUCAUUCCAUGUGGGGGCUAUUGACUUAUCAUUUUUCUCUGCUAAGAAAAAAUUGUAACGUCCGACGGCUACAAAUCUUCGAAAAAUCCAGUCCAUACUUAUCCCCUCGUUGAUUAUGAUCACCUGUGCAAUCACAUCCGUCGUGGCGUUGAUAGUGAUGCAUGUGCAAAACGUGUAGAUGAAUCCUUUCAAGAAUUUCUAAAAUUGUAAAUCCAAAAUUGUGCAAAACAAGUUUUUUUAGGUAUAUGAAAAUAUGCUUUUUUAAGUUACUAUAUUUUGAUUCUUGAAGAUAUACAAGCGAGAGCUUUGUGCAAUAAAAUUUGCCAGUUUUACAAAUUUAUCCCGAUCCUUCCAAGCCACGAUGACAAUGAAGACCUUGUAGAAAAAUUUUGCUAGCGUGCCACACGCAUCAAAAUAUUUCGCAGGUCGAACCGUCGUCCAUUUAUUGGCGAGAAAAAAUGUUCGAGACUCUGAGAAAUAUUGGAAGAGGAGAAGUGUAUGCGAUAUUACGCACAAGAUCUGGAAUUGCAAAAAUUUGGCAGAUUUAAAAAGUCCGACAUUUUUUAGCAAAUAAAAUCCGCAAUUUAUUUUUUAUCCACCUGCUGCAGUUUCGACGUGUGUAAUUUAUAAGUUGGUUGAGACUUAUCGUUGAAAGUUUUCACGAUUCUGAAAGGAGUUAUGAGAAGGUAGUAACCAAAAUUGAAAAAUACGAUGAACAAGACCUCAAUCCCCUCUGACACAAAGCUCACCGGGGAUUCUUCCUCAACCAAAAACAUUUUCGAAAUUAUGAACUGCUUCUUCAUUUUUGCUGGAGACAAAUUAACUACGGCUUAACUAAAAAUGCUUUAGAUAUGUGUGAUGCCGAACUUCACCCAAUUUCUGAAUCAUCAGUGCAGAACGUGCAUGUAAAAUAUGAACAUAUGCACGCCAAGAAAAGUCGUUGUUAAUUUGAUUGAUUCAUUUGUGUACUUAAUCAUGACGUAGAUACGAUUUUAAGUGGUAUAUUAUAAACUAGAUAAGUGUACAGUAUAUUUGCAUACAUAACCUGAACACUACAUCUAAUUGGUUUCAUUCAUGUGCAAAUUCCGUAUAUACAUAGAUGCUACUUUGACAAAGUGUUUUCUCAAAUGUAUUAUGAAUUCAACUAGUGAAGCAAUUCAAUACAAGAAAUUUUAAUCGAUGCAAUUUACACCUACAUAUCUCGAAAAGUAUGCUUGAAUAAUGCAAAUUAUUACACAACUCUUUGUUCAUCUUUUUUCACUACCCACCAAUAAUAUUGAUUGAUUAUUGAUUUAUUUAGUCCCAAAUACGUUCAUCCAAAUUGCUAAAAUUCUUCAAAUUUUUAACAAUUUUUAGAAAUAAUUUUAUAUCUGCUGUUUUUCUCCAGAAGUAGAGCACACGACCCAGUAGGUUAUCAUAGUGGCCAAGAACUAUAAAAAUCACAAAAAUUCCGCCAGUGAAUCCAACAAUGUGAGAUUUCGCUUCAUCGAUCAAAAUGGCGACGCGUCCACUGGAAAGAAAACUGUUGGACAUUCCCGACUCGGUAAAAGAUGACAGCCAAGACAGCAUAGCGUCUUCCACGCGUUUGCAGCAGUCCCCAGAAAAAUAAAGGCUGGCACACACAUUGAGGAGGAACAUUGAUUUCCGAAAACUUUCCAUGACAUCGGCAACCUCGAAAAUGUCGUUGAAAUGGGCAGAAUAGUAGAAAAGGACGAGUUCAGGAUCUGCGUAACUCUGGGAUAAUGCAUAAAAAUGUCAGUGUUGGAUUUUACUUUAACCGCCAAUUUGUUCGCGAACGAUCGCCAUGACAAGAAUUAUUCCAUCGGAAAAGUAAGCCAUCCUUUGUCGAAAGCAAAUUCCAGCGAAGGCCAGAAAUCCGCGGACCAUAUCAAACGCAUUGAUUUCAUCCCAAGUCGGAGCAAUCAGCUUAUUGUUUACCUCCGUUUCAAAAAAAUUGAAUCGUCCGACGGCCACAAAUCGGCGAAUAAUCCAAUCUAAGCAUAUUCCUUGGUUGACAACGCUCACCUGAGCAAUCAUAUCAAAGGUGGCGUUGAUGGUGAUGAAUAUGCAAAACGUGUAAAUGAAUAUCUUCAACUUUCUCUAGGAUAAAUA